UGGGGAAUUUUGCACAAUGGGGGAAACCCUGAUGCAGCGACGCCGCGUGAUUUAGAAGGCCUUCGGGUUGUAAAAAUCUUUUCUAUGGGAAGAAAAUGACAGUACCAUAGGAAUAAGGACCGGCUAAUUACGUGCCAGCAGCCGCGGUAAUACGUAAGGUCCGAGCGUUGUCCGGAAUCAUUGGGCGUAAAGGGUACGUAGGCGGGUAAGCAAGUUAGAAGUGAAAUCCUAUAGCUCAACUAUAGUAAGCUUUUAAAACUGCUCAUCUUGAGGUAUGGAAGGGAAAGUGGAAUUCCUAGUGUAGCGGUGAAAUGCGCAGAUAUUAGGAGGAAUACCGGUGGCGAAGGCGACUUUCUGGCCAUAACCUGACGCUGGGGUACGAAAGCGUGGGUAGCAAGCAGG
rnacentral:rRNA from 1 species